GGUUAAGCGACUAAGCGUACACGGUGGAUGCCCUGGCAGUCAGAGGCGAUGAAGGACGUGCUAAUCUGCGAUAAGCGCCGGUAAGGUGAUAUGAACCGUUAUAACCGGCGAUUUCCGAAUGGGGAAACCCAGUGUGACUCGUCACACUAUCAUUAACUGAAUCCAUAGGUUAAUGAGGCGAACCGGGGGAACUGAAACAUCUAAGUACCCCGAGGAAAAGAAAUCAACCGAGAUUCCCCCAGUAGCGGCGAGCGAACGGGGAGGAGCCCAGAGCCUGAAUCAGCAUGUGUGUUAGUGGAAGCGUCUGGAAAGGCGCGCGAUACAGGGUGACAGCCCCGUACACAAAAGCGCAUGUGCUGUGAGCUCGAUGAGUAGGGCGGGACACGUGGUAUCCUGUCUGAAUAUGGGGGGACCAUCCUCCAAGGCUAAAUACUCCUGACUGACCGAUAGUGAACCAGUACCGUGAGGGAAAGGCGAAAAGAACCCCGGCGAGGGGAGUGAAAAAGAACCUGAAACCGUGUACGUACAAGCAGUGGGAGCACCCUUCGGGGUGUGACUGCGUACCUUUUGUAUAAUGGGUCAGCGACUUAUAUUCUGUAGCAAGGUUAACCGAAUAGGGGAGCCGGAGGGAAACCGAGUCUUAAUUGGGCGUUAAGUUGCAGGGUAUAGACCCGAAACCCGGUGAUCUAGCCAUGGGCAGGUUGAAGGUUGGGUAACACUAACUGGAGGACCGAACCGACUAAUGUUGAAAAAUUAGCGGAUGACCUGUGGCUGGGGGUGAAAGGCCAAUCAAACCGGGAGAUAGCUGGUUCUCCCCGAAAGCUAUUUAGGUAGCGCCUCGUGAAUUCAUCUCCGGGGGUAGAGCACUGUUUCGGCUAGGGGGCCAUCCCGGCUUACCAACCCGAUGCAAACUGCGAAUACCGGAGAAUGUUAUCACGGGAGACACACGGCGGGUGCUAACGUCCGUCGUGAAGAGGGAAACAACCCAGACCGCCAGCUAAGGUCCCAAAGUCAUGGUUAAGUGGGAAACGAUGUGGGAAGGCCCAGACAGCCAGGAUGUUGGCUUAGAAGCAGCCAUCAUUUAAAGAAAGCGUAAUAGCUCACUGGUCGAGUCGGCCUGCGCGGAAGAUGUAACGGGGCUAAACCAUGCACCGAAGCUGCGGCAGCGACACUGUGUGUUGUUGGGUAGGGGAGCGUUCUGUAAGCCUGCGAAGGUGGCCUGUGAGGGUUGCUGGAGGUAUCAGAAGUGCGAAUGCUGACAUAAGUAACGAUAAAGCGGGUGAAAAGCCCGCUCGCCGGAAGACCAAGGGUUCCUGUCCAACGUUAAUCGGGGCAGGGUGAGUCGACCCCUAAGGCGAGGCCGAAAGGCGUAGUCGAUGGGAAACGGGUUAAUAUUCCCGUACUUGGUGUUACUGCGAAGGGGGGACGGAGAAGGCUAUGUUGGCCGGGCGACGGUUGUCCCGGUUUAAGCGUGUAGGUGUGUGUUCCAGGUAAAUCCGGUUCACUUUAACACUGAGGCGUGACGACGAGGCACUACGGUGCUGAAGCAACAAAUGCCCUGCUUCCAGGAAAAGCCUCUAAGCAUCAGGUAACAUCAAAUCGUACCCCAAACCGACACAGGUGGUCAGGUAGAGAAUACCAAGGCGCUUGAGAGAACUCGGGUGAAGGAACUAGGCAAAAUGGUGCCGUAACUUCGGGAGAAGGCACGCUGACAUGUAGGUGAAGUGAUUUACUCAUGGAGCUGAAGUCAGUCGAAGAUACCAGCUGGCUGCAACUGUUUAUUAAAAACACAGCACUGUGCAAACACGAAAGUGGACGUAUACGGUGUGACGCCUGCCCGGUGCCGGAAGGUUAAUUGAUGGGGUCAGCGCAAGCGAAGCUCCUGAUCGAAGCCCCGGUAAACGGCGGCCGUAACUAUAACGGUCCUAAGGUAGCGAAAUUCCUUGUCGGGUAAGUUCCGACCUGCACGAAUGGCGUAAUGAUGGCCAGGCUGUCUCCACCCGAGACUCAGUGAAAUUGAACUCGCUGUGAAGAUGCAGUGUACCCGCGGCAAGACGGAAAGACCCCGUGAACCUUUACUAUAGCUUGACACUGAACAUUGAGCCUUGAUGUGUAGGAUAGGUGGGAGGCUUUGAAGUGUGGACGCCAGUCUGCAUGGAGCCGACCUUGAAAUACCACCCUUUAAUGUUUGAUGUUCUAACGUGGACCCGUAAUCCGGGUUGCGGACAGUGUCUGGUGGGUAGUUUGACUGGGGCGGUCUCCUCCUAAAGAGUAACGGAGGAGCACGAAGGUUGGCUAAUCCUGGUCGGACAUCAGGAGGUUAGUGCAAUGGCAUAAGCCAGCUUGACUGCGAGCGUGACGGCGCGAGCAGGUGCGAAAGCAGGUCAUAGUGAUCCGGUGGUUCUGAAUGGAAGGGCCAUCGCUCAACGGAUAAAAGGUACUCCGGGGAUAACAGGCUGAUACCGCCCAAGAGUUCAUAUCGACGGCGGUGUUUGGCACCUCGAUGUCGGCUCAUCACAUCCUGGGGCUGAAGUAGGUCCCAAGGGUAUGGCUGUUCGCCAUUUAAAGUGGUACGCGAGCUGGGUUUAGAACGUCGUGAGACAGUUCGGUCCCUAUCUGCCGUGGGCGCUGGAGAACUGAGGGGGGCUGCUCCUAGUACGAGAGGACCGGAGUGGACGCAUCACUGGUGUUCGGGUUGUCAUGCCAAUGGCACUGCCCGGUAGCUAAAUGCGGAAGAGAUAAGUGCUGAAAGCAUCUAAGCACGAAACUUGCCCCGAGAUGAGUUCUCCCUGAGACUUAAAGUCUCCUGAAGGAACGUUGAAGACGACGACGUUGAUAGGCCGGGUGUGUAAGCGCAGCGAUGCGUUGAGCUAACCGGUACUAAUGAACCGUGAGGCUUAACCUU
rnacentral:rRNA from 2 species